rnacentral:tRNA from 1 species
GGAGAGGUGGCUGAGUGGCCGAAGGCAGCGGUUUGCUAAACCGUCGUACUGGGUUAACCGGUACCGGGGGUUCGAAUCCCCCCCUCUCCGCCA